rnacentral:rRNA from 1 species
CAAUAGCGUAUAUUAAAGUUGUUGCGGUUAAAAAGCUCGUAGUUGGAUUUCGGAGUCCACAGACUGGUCCGCCGAGACGGUGAGUACUGGUUUUGGGACUCUUCCUCCAAAAGGCCUAUUCUUCUCUUAACUGAGCGGGGUAUGGAACUUUGGAAUUUUACUUUGAAAAAAUUAGAGUGUUUAAAGCAGGCCGAUGCCUUGAAUACAUUAGCAUGGAAUAAUGGAAUAGGACUUUGGUUCUAUUUUGUUGGUUUCUAGGACCAAAGUAAUGAUUAAUAGGGAUAGUUGGGGGCAUUAGUAUUUAAUUGUCAGAGGUGAAAUUCUUGGAUUUAUGAAAGACUAACUUCUGCGAAAGCAUUUGCCAAGGAUGUUUUCAUUAA